GUUUAUGUAGUUUAAGAAAAAUGUUAUAUUUUCAGUAUAGAGAUAUAAAAUAAUUAUUAUAAAUA
rnacentral:tRNA from 1 species